rnacentral:rRNA from 1 species
UGGGGAAUCUUGCGCAAUGGGCGAAAGCCUGACGCAGCAACGCCGCGUGAGCGAAGACGGCCUUCGGGUUGUAAAGCUCUGUCAGGAGGGACGAAGCCACUCGGGUGAACAGCCCAGAGGGUGACGGUACCUCCACAGGAAGCCCCGGCUAACUACGUGCCAGCAGCCGCGGUAAUACGUAGGGGGCGAGCGUUGUCCGGAAUCAUUGGGCGUAAAGCGCGUGUAGGCGGCCGACCAAGUCCGGUGUGAAAGCUCAGGGCUCAACCCUGAGUCUGCACUGGAAACUGGCCGGCUUGAGUCCGGAAGAGGAGACUGGAAUUCCUGGUGUAGCGGUGAAAUGCGCAGAUAUCAGGAAGAACACCGGUGGCGAAGGCGGGUCUCUGGGACGGUACUGACGCUGAGACGCGAAAGCGUGGGGAGCAAACAG